rnacentral:rRNA from 1 species
GACGAACGCUGGCGGCGUGCUUAACACAUGCAAGUCGAACGGAAAGGCCCUGCUUUUGUGGGGUGCUCGAGUGGCGAACGGGUGAGUAACACGUGAGUAACCUGCCCUUGACUUUGGGAUAACUUCAGGAAACUGGGGCUAAUACCCGAUAGGAGCUCCUGCUGCAUGGUGGGGGUUGGAAAGUUUCGGCGGUUGGGGAUGGACUCGCGGCUUAUCAGCUUGUUGGUGGGGUAGUGGCUUACCAAGGCUUUGACGGGUAGCCGGCCUGGGAGGGUGACCGGCCACAUUGGGACUGAGAGACGGCCCAGACGGCUACGGGAGGCAGCAGUGGAGAAUAUUGCGCAAUGGGCGGAAGCCUGAUGCAGCAGCGCCACGUGCGGGAUGACGGCCUUCGGGUUGUAAACCGCUUUCGCCUGUGACGAAGCGUGAGUGACGGUAAUGGGUAAAGAAGCAACGGCUAACUACGUG